rnacentral:rRNA from 1 species
GACAGCAGCCGCCGCGGUAAAACAGAGGGUGCAAGCGUUAAUCGGAAUUACUGGGCGUAAAGCGCGCGUAGGUGGUUUGUUAAGUUGGAUGUGAAAUCCCCGGGCUCAACCUGGGAACUGCAUCCAAAACUGGCAAGCUAGAGUAUGGUAGAGGGUGGUGGAAUUUCCUGUGUAGCGGUGAAAUGCGUAGAUAUAGGAAGGAACACCAGUGGCGAAGGCGACCACCUGGACUGAUACUGACACUGAGGUGCGAAAGCGUGGGGAGCAAACAGGAUUAGAUACCCCGGUAGUCCCUGUCUCUUAUAC